UGCGGAGGAUCAUUAGAAAAUCGUUUGCAAUCCGUAGGCAUAACCGGGGAGAGGAAGGGGGUCAAACCCCCCUUUCCCCGAUGCUCUAACAGGAACCCAAACCGCGUACCCCAACCAUGUUGCUUCCCCAGACCCGCAGGGAGACCUGCCUGGCACGUGCCCCUCCUCACCGAUGGGAACGGCCGGCCGCGGACUGGGAGAAGGGCCGGAAUUUACUUCCAGAAAACACCAAUCCAGCCCGAAGAUGAGAAGUCUGACGCGUGCCUCCGGGCCACAGGUUUUACAUAACACAAUUAAAACUUUCAACAACGGAUCUCUUGGUUCUCGCAUCGAUGAAGAACGCAGCGAAAUGCGAUAAGUAAUGUGAAUUGCAGAAUUCAGUGAAUCAUCGAAUCUUUGAACGCACAUUGCGCCCCAGGGCAUUCCUUGGGGCAUGCCUGCUCGAGCGUCACAGAACAACCCCCUCACAAGCAAUUGUGGUGAUGGCGGACGUGGCUUCCGGCUCCCCCAUACCGGGAACGGCCCACACCGCUGAAAUCGAUCAGGCGGACGCAACCUCCCUCGUCAACUGGCUUAGUAAAUUCGACGUCAAGUCAACCAGCCAGGAGUGGGGUGUUGUCCGGCCCACACUACAGGAGCCACAUCCAUCGCGAUGAGAAACCUCGGGUUGACCUCGGAUCAGGUAGGGAUACCCGCUGAACUUAAGCAUAUCAAUAAGCGGGAGGA
rnacentral:rRNA from 1 species